UUCUUACAGUGCACCUUACAACAAACAGCACAAGAUGAAGUUCCAGGCAGCCAAAGAGAAAAUAAAACCUUCGGUGGCUGCGUCGCUGAGGCAGCGGCAUAUUGAUUAAUGGAUCAAAGUCUUUUGACACGAGCUAUUUUGUGCACAUUCGCUUCACAAACAGUAGGAUUAUGUCAAACAAUUCAUAGGCCAAAAACUAAACUGUCAACAAAUAAAACACAAAUCGCCAAUAAUAAGCGUCCUUUGUCAGCCAGAAAUGAAGAGGCUUAGGAGUUUGGCAAAGGGGCGGGGGGAGUGGCGAUCAUCCUCAUCAGGAAGGGAGUCCACUCAACUUAACUCUCACACAAAAACCAAAUCAGAAAAAAAAUGAAAACGAGGAAACCCAGAAAAAGAGCCACGAAAAGGUUUUCGCAUGAAGGCAGUCAAAUCAUAUCGCCUGGAAUGUGUAGAGCAUGGCAUAAAUGUCACUUCGCAUAUGAAUUUGCCCACGAGAUGACGACGGUGUAGCGUGAAGCCAAAUGGUAAUGGUGAUGGUAAUGGUAAUGCCAACAAACGAACCGGGGUCCACAAAUGCACAGUGAGAAAUUCUAGUUGCUAAUAUACCCAUUUCUGGUUUAGUUUUCGCAAUAAUCCGCCAUCUUACUGAUCAUUUUGCAUAUAUGUGUAUAUGUUUGAAGCUUAUUAUAAUUAAGUUUUUUGGGAGAGAUGCCACUUUUUCUCAGUGUACCAACGAUCAUGGGUUGGAGCUUGAGUUGUGUGGCAGCCGGUACCGAAAACGAUACAUCAUCGAAAGCAACAGGACUCGAGAGCCAGAGCACUUUCAGUCCAACUGCGACGACUGACUGUGCGCCUUUUUGUGGCAAGUCAACAUGAUCUCAUCUGUCAUAGAUCGAUCGACCUGUUCCAACAAUGCCAGCAAAAACAACGGCAGUGGCAGUCGCACUCGCAGGAGGGAUCCCUGUACAGUACACACUACCUGUCCCCUAGCAGCGGGUGAUCAAACUGACGGAGGUUUCAACAUCGUUGCACAAAUUGUGUCCCUGCCCCACGGGUAAUUUAAAGGUAUAUAGGUAUCCGUAUAUACACCCUCGAUCGGACGAUCUUUAUCUGAGGAGGUGUUGCUGUUUACGUUGCCAUUAGAUGUGGGAUUAGAGCUUGAUUGGCUUGCCAUUUGUGACAGCUUUGUCGUUUUGGGGAUUGUCAACGGUUCCGAAAGGAUUAUUGUGAAUGCACAGCAAACAAAAUGUAGCUGGAACUGGCGAUUCCUUAGAAUAUCAUCUUGGACCCAUAAAAUCAAGCAUAAUACCCCAGCUGGAAAAUCUCUGCAGCGCUUAUCCAAAUGCUUUAUUUUCCCUAACUGUAACAGCAAACAGCCAUACGUUUUAAUACGUUUUUAAAAGCUUUUCACUAACUGCAACUCACGCCCAGACAGAGUCACGCAGUAGCCAAAAACGAACUAAACCCUAUAUAAAAACUAAACAAAAAUAAAUGGAAAACAUUUUGAUAUCAAUUUAAUUGAGCUCAUUUGCAUGUGCUGGAAAAAAAUAAAGAGUAAGCCCAGCCGGGCCAAUAGAAUUAAGAUAUGGCCGAGAGAAGAAGAUUGCCGCGUUGUUGGCCAUGACAAUAAUGCCAAUCUACGACUUACGGCCAGAAAGACAGCUACGAGUUGAAAAACGAAGCAGAACGAAUGGCAUUUGUGAGGCCAAAGAAAAAGGAGUCGGAAACUACAGAGAGAGAAAUGAAUGUGACCCAUACUGACCAAUAAUAUG
rnacentral:sRNA from 1 species